rnacentral:lncRNA from 1 species
GGUACAGUGAAUAACCCAGACACUAAAAAGCAAGGCAGCGGGGGUCCUACCAGCGCGGCUUUUGAUGACGUCGGUGAAUCCGUCCUCAGCGGCAUUUUCUGGGGUCUCCUGCAGACCCCUCAGCUGUGCCAUAACCAAACGCCACGUGCCUCAGCUUCCUCACGCCCCAAACUUUGGAAGGCAGGUCACAUGGAAUCUACACAUGGAAGGACAUAGGCAUUGCAUGCAGGUAUCCGGAAUCAUUGAUAUUGGUCUUAAAAUUUGGAAGUUUCCACUUUUGCUAAGCCAUGUGAGGACACAACAAGAAGGCAUCACCAAUGAAGAAUAGGCCUUCAUCAGACAUCCAAUCUGCAGGCCUCUUGAUCUUGGACUUCCUAAUCUACAGAAUUGUGAGUGAUAAAAUUCUGUUUUUUAUAAAUUACCCAUCCUAAAGUAUUUUUCUUAUAGCAGGCCAAAUUGAGACAGAUACUUACACUGGAUAUAGAUUUGCUUUAUUUCUACACAAUGCUUAUACCCAAACUACUAUCUGUGGAAUACAGAUAAUGCCUUAUCCAUCACUAUGGUGUUCCUCAAAGCGUUGCUUUUGAUCAAAAUCUCCCUUUAGAGCAAAUGAAGUGCAGCAAUGGGGAACAUACUCAUAGGAUUCACUAGUAUUACUGUGUUUUCCAUAAUCUCAAAACAAGUGGCUUGACAGAAUGGUGGAAUGGCCUUUUGAAAACCCAGCUACAGGAUCAGGUAGACAAAAUUCCUUGCAGCACUGGGGCAGCAUUCACCAGGAGUCUGUAUAUGCCCUGAAUCAAUGUUAAAUAUAUGUUGGUGUUUCAUUCAUGGCCAGAUUUCACAGGCCCCAAAAUCAAGGGGGGAAAAUGGUAGUGGCACCACUCAUUAUUAGUGUCCCUAAUGAUGCACUAGCAAUAAAUGUUACUUCCUGUCCCUGAAACCUUAAGUUCUGCUGGUCUAUAGGUCUCAAUUUCAAAGGGAGACAUGUUUCCACUAAGAGACAUAAGAAUGAUUCUGCUGAACUGGAAGCUAAGACUGUCACCCUACUACAUUACACUUAUGCCUCUGAGUCAACAGGCAAUGAAGUUACCUUGCUGGCUGGGUUGAUUUGUCCUGAUUAGUGAGAGAAUGUUGGACUGCAGUUACACAAUUGAGGUAAAGAAAUGUAAGUCUGGAAGACAGGACAUACAGAAUCUCUUAGGAUAUCUCCUAGUACUACCAUACCAUCUGAUUAUACUCAAUGGAAAGCAAUAACAACCCAAAUCAGGAAGGACUACUAAUGACCCAAACCCUUCAUGAAUAAAGAUUUAGGGAAUCCCAGUAGGCAAAGAGCCAUUACCAGUUUAGGGGCUUGCUGAGCACAAUGCAAAUAUGGAUUGGAUAGUAGAAAAAAGUAGUUAUAACUCUUAGCUAUGAUCAUGUGAUCAGUUGCAGGAAUGAAGAUUGUAAUUAUUACAAAUUUUGAUGUCUUAUUUCAUUAUGUUUGUGUGUAUAUAUAAUAUAUACCAAUGGUUGUAUUGUCUUCUUUUACCCACUUAUCAUCUAACAUAAUAUAUUUUAAUAAUAGUUAUUGCCAUCGUAUUAUUUUUUACCUAUUUUAAACAGUUUUAAUUUAUGUAUCAUAAAAUUAAUGCAUUUCAAUGAUUUUAACUAUAGUCACAGAAUUGUGCAGCCAUUACAACAGUCUAAUAUUAGAUUUGCCCAACAACUGUCAAUCCUUAUUCUUCCCUUGCUCCAGCUUUAGGUAGCCCCUAAUCUACUUCCUAUCUCUACAGUUUUAACUAUUCAAGAUAUUUCAUAUAAACAGAUUUAUACAGUAUGUGUUCUUUUGAAUCUACAUUAUUUCACCGAGCAUAAUGUUUUGAGGUUCACUUAUGUACUAUACACCAAUAUUUCACUUAUCUUUACUGUCAUUUUGUUAUAUAGAUCUACUGCAUUUUGUGUAACCAUCAUUCAUCAACUCAUGGACAUUUGAGUUACUUCCACUUCUUGGCUACAGUGAAUAUUGCUGCGCUAAACACUCACAUAAAAAUCUUUGUGUGAACAUAUGUUUUAAUUUGUCUGUGAUGAAUAUUUUGGAGUGAAAUUGCUGGGUCACGUGGUAACUCUAUGUUUAAAUUUUUGAGGAACUGCCAAACUAUUUUCCAAUGUGACUGCACCAUUUUACACCAUCCUCAGCAACAUAUGAAGGUUACAUUUUCAUGACACUCUUGCCAACACUUGCUAUCAUGUCCUUUUUAUUAUAGCCAUUACAGUGGGUAGUAAGUGGUAUUUCAUGUGGUCUUGAUUUGCUUUUCCUUAGUGGCUAAUAAUAUCAAGCAUCUUUUCAUGUCCUUAAUGGCCAUUUGGAUAUACUCUUUUUUGAAAUACUUAUUCAAGUU